AACGAACGCUGGCGGCAUGCCUAACACAUGCAAGUCGAACGAGACCUUCGGGUCUAGUGGCGCACGGGUGCGUAACGCGUGGGAACCUGCCCUUAGGUUCGGAAUAACUCCCCGAAAGGGGUGCUAAUACCGGAUAAUGUCUUCGGACCAAAGAUUUAUCGCCAUUGGAUGGGCCCGCGUUGGAUUAGCUAGUUGGUAGGGUAAAAGCCUACCAAGGCGACGAUCCAUAGCUGGUCUGAGAGGAUGAUCAGCCACACUGGGACUGAGACACGGCCCAGACUCCUACGGGAGGCAGCAGUGGGGAAUAUUGGACAAUGGGCGAAAGCAUGAUCCAGCAAUGCCGCGUGAGUGAUGAAGGCAUUAGGGUUGUAAAGCUCUUUUACCCGGGAUGAUAAUGACAGUACCGGGAGAAUAAGCUCCGGCUAACUCCGUG
rnacentral:rRNA from 1 species